rnacentral:rRNA from 1 species
AUUGAACGCUGGCGGCAUGCCUUACACAUGCAAGUCGAACGGCAGCACGGGUGCUUGCACCUGGUGGCGAGUGGCGAACGGGUGAGUAAUACAUCGGAACAUGUCCUGUAGUGGGGGAUAGCCCGCCGAAAGCCGGAUUAAUACCGCAUACGAUCCACGGAUGAAAGCGGGGGACCUUCGGGCCUCGCGCUAUAGGGUUGGCCGAUGGCUGAUUAGCUAGUUGGUGGGGUAAAGGCCUACCAAGGCGACGAUCAGUAGCUGGUCUGAGAGGGCGACCAGCGACACUGGGACUGAGACACGGCCCAGACUCCUACGGGAGGCAGCAGUGGGGAAUUUUGGACAAUGGGCGAAAGCCUGAUCCAGCAAUGCCGCGUGUGUGAAGAAGGCCUUCGGGUUGUAAAGCACUUUUGUCCGGAAAGAAAUCCUUGACUCUAAUACAGUCGGGGGAUGACGGUACCGGAAGAAUAAGCACCGGCUAACUACGUG